AGGAAUAAAAAAGACCUUGCUAUUCCGCCCUUUGAGUUACAGCUAUUAUGACAGUUGAGAGGGGCGAGGGGGGGGGCGGUGUAGAAUUAGGAGGGGUUUUGAUGGCUGCCCGUCUAGUCCACUUAGUUUUUGUACUGGAAGGGCUCGUCGCCAGUUUCGUUGAGAAGACACGUGCGGAUGAGAGCUUCUGUCACCGCAAAGGGGUCACAGUUGGCAGAAGGGCGACGGUCUUCGAAGUAACCCUUCUUCUCCUGGCCGACAGUCUGGGGAAUGCGGAUGCUAGCGCCACGGUUGGCCACGCCGGCAGAAAAGUCGUUGAUGUUGGAGGUUUCAUGGAAUCCAGUUAGGCGCCGGGCGUUGUCCAGGCCCCCCUUGGGAUCGUAGGCUCGGAUGUGGUACUGGUGCCGCUUGCUUAGCUUCUCGAUGGCCUCCUUGAUGUACUUCAGACCAUUCUCCUCUCGCAUGGCCUUGGUGCUAAAGUUGGUGUGGCAGCCGGCACCAUUCCAGUUCCCAGGAAUGGGCUUAGGAUCAAAGGUGGCGAUCACUCCGAAGUCUUCGCACACACGAUGCAAGAUGAAUCGGGCCACCCAGAGGUGAUCUCCCAUGUCGAUUCCUUCACAGGGUCCGAUCUGGAAUUCCCACUGGGCGGGCAUGACCUCGGCAUUGGUGCCCCCAAUCUUGAUGCCGGCAUACAAGCAGGCCCGGUAGUGAGCCUCCACAAUGUCCCUGCCAUAGGCUUUGUCUGCUCCAACACCACAAUAGUACGGACCUUGGGGCCCAGGGAAGCCAUUGGAAGGCCAACCAAAGGGGUGUCCAUCUGUGCCCAUGAGAGUAUAUUCCUGCUCCAUUCCAAACCAGGGGUGCUGGUUGCUCACCAUGUCCAUUAUCCAUUUACAGGUGUGCCUUAAUUUGGUCUCUGCAGGCUUUCGGUUGUACUUGAAGACCUCACAGAACACCAGCUUGAUGGGGUCCUUGCGGAAAGGGUCCCGAAACAUGGCAGCAGGGACAAGAUACAGAGCCACAGCAAUACCAGAUCCAAGCCGCAUCUGCGACCCACACCACAGUUCACAGCAAUGCCAGAUCCUUAACCCUCUGAGCAGGGCCAGGGAUGAAACCUGUGUCCUCAUGGAUGUUAGUUGGGUUUGUUAACCACUGAGCCACUCCCCUUUUUUUUUCUUUUUUUUUUUCUUUUUUGGCGACCCCAACGCAUAAUGGAGUUUCCAGGCCAGGAAUCAGAUCCAAGCUGCAAUUACAACCUACGCCACAGUUGCAGCAAUACCAGAUCCUUUAACCCUCUGCACCAGGCCCGGGAUCAAACCUGCAUCUGGGUGCUGCAGUGACGCCACUGAUGCACCACAGUAGGAACUCCUGUAAUGUGUAUUUUAACUCAAAAAAUAAAACAACAAUAUUUUAAAAAUAUUUAACAUUUUAAAAAAGUACUAACCCCACCUCUAGCCCAUAAUAGAAGACUCCCCAGGCAGGCAGUGCGGGCUAGCUGGAUGGGUCUAUGAAAUCAUCACAGACCCAGGUCCUUCAGUUUUCUCACACCAGCAUCCAUUCCAAAGGUCACCUCAUAGUCCAAAAUAGCUGCUAGAGCUCCAGCCAUCAUACUCCAGAUUACAAGAAAGAACUAUGUUCUGAUGCUCUUUUUAGGGGCCUUCCCAAAAGUCCACCCCAAAACUUCUGCUUAUAUUUUAUUGGCUAGAAUUUAGUCCCAUGGCCAUGUCUGGCUUCAAGGGAGUCCGGGAAAGGUAGGUGUGGUAGGAAGCCUCAACUCCAGGCUUCCUGGUUGAUUCACUCCUUUGUGGAAUUCUACCCCUGAGUGUGGGCCAGACCUAGUAACUUUUUUUCUAACCAAUAGAAUAUGGCAAAGGUGAUAGGAUGUCACUUCUGAGAUUAGGUUACAAAGAGAUGGUGACUUCUGUCUUGGGUGGCCUCUCUUGCUCAGAGGGAAGCCAGCUAUAUUGUGAGCUGCCCUGUGUAGAGACCCCCAUAGCAAGGAACUGAUGUCUCUGGCCAACAGCUAGUGAAGACUUGAGGACAUGAAUGAGCUUGGAAGGACAUUCUCCCCCAGUUGAGUCUUCAGAUGACUGCAGCCCCAGCAGACAUCUGAACUUUAACUACUUGAGAGACCUGGUCCAGAAGACCCAUGAAACUGACUCGCCGAGUUUGGGCCUAUGCGUUACACAGCCUUGACUGACUAAUACAGUUUUCCAGGCAGACACAUUCCCAGGCUUCUGUCAGUAAGAAGGAGGGGAAAGAUGGAGUUGGGAGGCAGCCAGCAGGCACUGUCACCUGUACCUCCCUCACAGGACUGUUGCAAGGAUGGCAUGAAGUAAGUCUGCAAAGUGCCCACCUGCCGUCCACCAGCAUCCAGGAAGUGCCUGUGCGAAGAGAGGUGGGUAGCAAAGGGCACCAUCCAGGGUCUAUCUUCCAGGCGUCUCACCAAGCUGUUUUAGGAGACACAACUGCACUGUGUUUCAUGUGUGACUUUCCCAGGCUCCCUCUCCCCUUUUACAGUUCAGAACUCCUCCCCAAAUCCAAUCCUGCAAAACCCCAAGCCAACUGGUGGGUCCAUCAAACAGUGAGAUUUUAGAGGAAAAGGGCUAAGAGCCCCUCACAUCCAGUCCCUCCCACACCAGUUACGGCAUGAACCACACACUUGCUUGAGAUCCCCCAGCCUCUAGGCAGAGGUGGGAGCUGGACCCUCCCACCCAAAAGAGAUCCCCAGUCUCUGCUCCACCUUCUUCCUGCACCACUGGUGCUGAGGCAGAACCCAGGAUUUGGAGCAUUUAGAGCGUUGCCUGUAAAACGAUGGCACGCCUUCCAUCCAAUUUUCUCCCCCCUUGAGGAGUGGAGGUCAGGUGGGUGAGGUGUUUUGAGUGAAUGCCUCUCGUGUUUCUUGCUGGUUUCCCUUGAGGCGAUUGGAGAUGAUUCCUCUUGUCUGUCAAAGAGAGACCUGAAGUCCUUGUGGUUCCCCAAGAGCCUGUUUCUCUUGAGAGCAGCUGGGAGAAAGAUUGAGUGUUCCUCUGAGUCCCACAGUGAUAUGUGCGCUUAACUGAGGCAAGAAUUGUCUCCCUGGAGCUCCCGCUGUGGCUCAGUGGUCACGAACCCAACUAGUAUCCAUGAGNUAUAGCUCCUCUUCAACCCCUAGCCUGGGCACUUCCAGAUGCCGCAGGUGCAGCCCUAAACACCCCCACCCCCCAAAAAAAACAUUUCUGAUGAGUCAUUGAUGUCCGUUCAGCUCAGCGACAGUUAGGACUGGAACGUGGGUGAUUUUCUUUGCUCUGCUCUCUGCCAUUAUUGCCUCUAUUAGGAAUUUGAUGUGCUCAAAAGAUAGAGUUUGCCGCUUGCUAACUGUGGGCCUUUUGCGGGUGGUGGCAUCCACAGGAAGCAUUCCCAUUGGGGUUUUGUGACCCUGGCAUCACUAUGUACAUAUGUAUGUAUGUAUUUUUUUCCUUUUAGGGCUGCACCUGCAGCACAUGGAAGUUCCCAGACUAGGGGUUGAAUCGGAGCUACAGCUGCUAGCCUACACCGCAGCCACAGCAACGCCAGAUCUGAGCUGCAUCUGUGAAUGUCACUGCAGCUUGCGGUAACACCAGAUCCUUAACCCAGUGAGUGAGUCCAGGGAUAGAACCCUCAUCCUUACGGAGACUACGUCGGUUCCUUAAUCUGCUGAACUACAGUGGGAAUUCCACUAAACCUGCAUGCACAAAGGCCCCUGGUCCCGCUGUGUCUGUGCGGGGACCCAGCCUGCAGCGGGAGUCCCUGGAAACGGCUUCCCUCUCUGCACAUGGCUCUGUGUGUGCCUGGCUCGCAGUCUUGCUGGCGAUCGUGUGUUGGCACUGACCCACGAAUAUUUGCCUCUCAUGUCUUUGAGAGAGAAGAGUCGGCCUCGCCUGGAGGGUAGCCGGGGUGUGCAUGGACGGCUGUCUCGGGCUGGAUGCCGCACUCCAGGUCGGGGAAAACGUGGUGGGCUCACCUUUGUUCAUGGGGUGGGUCACAGGAUUCACUGUGUGAAGCUGGAGGGAAGCCCAGGAAACUGGAGAAGUUUCUUGGGGAGGGUACCAGCUUGGGGACUCCAGGAGGGAACAGGAAGACACUGCCUGUGGUUACCGAAGGCAGCGAUGCGCAGGAGGUAGUGGCAAGAGCGGGCUGUUUGCUCAUCAGGUGAGGGGCCCGCGGAGUGAGGUUAGUGAUGGGCCAGGCCUGGGCCUGAGUAGUGCAUCUUUGCAGUUUUCUCCUUAUGCAUUUAGAAGAAAAUGUGUUGAUUUUUUUUUUUUUUCCCUGUCACAUGCUCAGCACUCUAAGAGGUUAUUCAUGCCAGGAGGAGCUGCUGGUGUUUUAGCAAACUAGCACGUCUCACCUGAAGCUUGUAAAGCGCUAGACGGAAUCGUAACUGUGAUAAUAAGGGCAGGCACUGAUGCGGCUGCAAGGUGAGCCAGGGAUCCUUCCAGGUGCUUUGCGUGUGUUUAAGAGCAGAUGGGAGGUCCAGAGGCUGGGCUGGGGGGUGGCCAGCAAGCCUUGCCCGUGGGCUCCCCUAGCAUUAGUUAUAUGAAUGAGUUUUACUCCACAAACGUGGCCUUUUAAAAUGUCACAAUCCUUACAAAAGUUUUUAUGGUAAAAAGCCCUUGCAUUAUUGAAAUAUACCUGACACGUAACAUUGUGGAAAAUUCAGGUGGCCGCCCUGUUGAUUUGAUACACUUACAUGGCAAAACGAUUCCCGCCAUGGGGGGGCGCUAACACCUGCAGCUCGUCACAUGGUUACCAUUUCUUCUUUGGGGUGAGACAUUUACUCUCAGCAACUUUCAAGUGUACAAUACAGUGUGAUUAACUAGACUCCCCCUGCUGUGUAUUUGAUUCCCAGAACUUCAUCUUAUACCUGAUAGCAUGACCCUUGACCAGCGACUCAUUUUCCCACCUCCCAGCCCCUGCUAACCACGUCUCUACCCUCUGUUUCAAUGAAUUCAGCUGUUUUAUUUAUUGUAUUCAUUUAUUUUAUUUAUUUUGGCUUUUUAGGGUCACACCUGCAGCAUACUAUAGAGGUUCCCAGGCUAAGGGUCGAAUCGGAGCUGCACCUGCCGGCCUACACCACAGCCAUAGAAACGUGGGAUCCAAGCUGCAUCUGUGACCUACAUCACAGCUCACGGCAACGCUGGAUCCUUGACCCACUGAGCAAGGCCCGGGGUGGAACCUGCAUCCUCAUGGACACUAUGUUGGGUCCUUAACCCACUGGGCCACAACGGGAACUCCAGCAUCCUCGACUUUCCCCUCUGAGCUCACCUUCCUGCGUGUGCUUGGGGACUGGAAUGCUCCAGCUGGCCUUGUCCCUCAACACCGUAAUUGUCCUUUAUCUCCCACUAAGCAGGAACCAGCUUUUCCUAGUACAGUACCUGCUACAAAGUCAAAGCAAUGACCUUGGAAAAGUUGCUCAGUGAUACUGAACCUUGGUUUCCAGUUUGGUACUGAGGUCCAAUGUGCUUCUGCGCCACCUGUCAAUUCUCUUUCCCUUGCCCCUGAUGGAAAACUAGUUCAUUCCUGGCUUCGGUAAAAAGGUACUGACUGGCCCAUGUUAUUGAAAAGAGCUAAGGCUUCAGGAAUGGCUGGAUCUAGAUACUUGAAUGUGGCAUCAGGAAUCCCUUUGAGGCAAGCCCCUGGUCCUGCGCCUGCGCCGCCCGCAUCCGCGUGGCCGGCGGCUUCCACAUUCCGUGCCCUCUCCCGGCCCCAGACGCGUCUCGGAGGGGGCGCCUGUAGAUGGGAGCAGCGUCUCCCAUGAACAUCCCCCAGCUGGCCCCUGCUCGGGAGCCGCCCCUGCCCCGAGGCUGCCAAGGGCCAGCCCUGAGCAGGUAGCGCCAAGGACCCGGAAGCUCACUGUUUGGGUGUAAAUUCAAAUCGGCGGCAUAUGCGCAUCGAGGGACAUGGAAGGACUGACCAACAGGGACCUGCUGUAGCGCCCAGAGAACUCUACCCCGGAUUCCGCGAUGGUCUAUGUGGGGAAAGAAUCUGAAAGAGAAUGCACGUGUGUACAUGUUAUAACCGAAUCGCUGUCGUGCAGCAGAAAUGAUGAGGGCAUCCUCAAUCACCUCUACUUCAAUAAAACAAUAAAAAAUAAAUUAACUCUUAGAAGUUCUCAGACCAAAAGAUAAAUAAA
rnacentral:lncRNA from 1 species